AGCGAACGCUGGCGGCAGGCCUAACACAUGCAAGUCGAGCGGCCGUAGCAAUACGGCAGCGGCAGACGGGAUAGUAACACGUGGGAACGCGCCCUUCGGUUCGGAAUAACUCAGGGAAACUUGAGCUAAUACCGGAUACGCCCUUACGGGGAAAGAUUAUUGCCGAAGGAACGGCCCGCGUCGGAUUAGCUAGUUGGUGAGGUAAUGGCUCACCAAGGCGACGAUCCGUAGCUGGUCUGAGAGGAUGACCAGCAUCACUGGGACUGGGACACGGCCCAGACUCCUACGGGAGGCAGCAGUGGGGAAUAUUGGGACAAUGGGCGCAAGCCUGAUCCAGCCAUGCCGCGUGGAUGAUG
rnacentral:rRNA from 1 species